rnacentral:rRNA from 1 species
CCUACGGGAGGCUGCAGUGAGGAAUAUUGGUCAAUGGACGAGAGUCUGAACCAGCCAAGUAGCGUGAAGGAUGACUGCCCUAUGGGUUGUAAACUUCUUUUAUAUGGGAAUAAAACGUUCCACGUGUGGGAUUUUGUAUGUACCAUAUGAAUAAGGAUCGGCUAACUCCGUGCCAGCAGCCGCGGUAAUACGGAGGAUCCGAGCGUUAUCCGGAUUUAUUGGGUUUAAAGGGAGCGUAGGUGGAUUGUUAAGUCAGUUGUGAAAGUUUGCGGCUCAACCGUAAAAUUGCAGUUGAAACUGGCAGUCUUGAGUACAGUAGAGGUGAGCGGAAUUCGUGGUGUAGCGGUGAAAUGCUUAGAUAUCACGAAGAACUCCGAUUGCGAAGGCAGUUCACUGGACUGCAACUGACACUGAGGCUCGAAAGUGUGGGUAUCAAACAGGAUUAGAUACCCUUGUAGUC